CAUAAAUAGAAAAGAAAAUUUCUUCAAACAUUUUUUUGAGAGGAUUAAUAUUCAACAGCAUAGUGAAUUGCUCUAAGAGAAAACAAAAAUUUUAAGUUCAUUAGAACACAUUCAUUCUGUGUCAGAAACCUAUGCUGUGUCAACUAUUUAAUCACAAUCCAAAUUUAGAGCUGAAUCCAGCUUGAAUGUUGUGUCCAUACUUGCCCAAACCGUUCAGGGUUCAACCUCUGCGGUCGUAUAAAGCUACGCCCUGCGGAGCAUCUGGUUGUUUUUUGAAUUCUAUUGUAUUUA
rnacentral:lncRNA from 1 species